AACCAACCCAUAACAGGGGGAUAACCCGGAGAAAUCCGGACUAAUACCGCAUAAGACCACGAUAUCGCACGAUAUAGAGGUCAAAUAUUUAUAGGUUAUGGACGGGCAUGCGUCUGAUUAGCUGGUGGCGGGGUAACGGCCCACCAAGGCAUCGAUCAGUAGGGGUUCUGAGAGGAAGGUCCCCCACAUUGGAACUGAGACACGGUCCAAACUCCUACGGGAGGCAGCAGUGAGGAAUAUUGGUCAAUGGGCGAAAGCCUGAACCAGCCAUGUCGCGUGAAAAGGAUGAAGGUCCUAUGGAUUGUAAACUUCUUUUGCAGGAGGGUAAAGUGAGCUACGUGUAGUUCAUUGCAAGUACCCUGCGAAUAAGCAUCGGCUAACUCCGUGCCAGCCGCGGC
rnacentral:rRNA from 1 species